rnacentral:rRNA from 1 species
CCUACGGGGGGCGGCAGUGGGGAAUAUUGUACAAUGGGGGGAACCCUGAUGCAGCGACGCCGCGUGAGUGAAGAAGGUCUUCGGAUCGUAAAACUCUGUCCUUGGUGAAGAUAAUGACGGUAGCCAAGGAGGAAGCCCCGGCUAACUACGUGCCAGCAGCCCCGGUC